rnacentral:rRNA from 1 species
UACGGAGGGCGCAAGCGUUGUUCGGAAUUACUGGGCGUAAAGCGCGUGUAGGCGGCCAGGUAAGUCGGAUGUGAAAGCCCGGGGCCCAACCCCGGAACUGCACCCGAUACUGCCUGGCUGGAGUCCCGGAGAGGAUGGCGGAAUUUCCGGUGUAGAGGUGAAAUUCGUAGAUAUCGGAAGGAACACCAGUGGCGAAGGCGGCCAUCUGGACGGUGACUGACGCUGAGGUGCGAAAGCGUGGGGAGCAAACAGG